UACGGGGGGGCAAGCGUUGUUCGGAAUUACUGGGCGUAAAGGGCUCGUAGGCGGCCAACUAAGUCAGACGUGAAAUCCCUCGGCUUAACCGGGGAACUGCGUCUGAUACUGGUUGGCUUGAAUCCGGGAGAGGGAUGUGGAAUUCCAGGUGUAGCGGUGAAAUGCGUAGAUAUCUGGAGGAACACCGGUGGCGAAGGCGGCAUCCUGGACCGGUAUUGACGCUGAGACGCGAAAGCGUGGGA
rnacentral:rRNA from 1 species